ACUAGUUGCAAAAAGGACAAACAACAGCAAGAAUUUCACCAUGCAAUUAGAUAAAAGCACAGCAAAAUCUAAAAGAAAGCCAGGAGUAGAUACCAGGGCAUUAGAUAAUUGCUUUUACAGGAGAAGGCUGUGGCUGCUGGUGCUAACUUCUAAAUUUGAGUGACAGAGGAAAACAACGGAAGACAACCAGAUGAGAGGAGGUGGGAAAACCAGAAUUGAUAUCCCUGUUAUGAAAGAGGAAAGUCUAAAGUACACUGUGUGAAACAGGGGACACCCAGAAAGUGAUGGGGGAAGAAGAAUGAGCACUCUCACUGUCUGCUUGGUAACUAUUUUGUUCAUUGCUGUGUGAGUUGUGAGUUAUGAAUAAGAGAACUGCAAGUUGGAAACAUCAUGAAUUAAGUGAUGAAUCAGUGAAAUGGCAUGUUAGACUGGUUUGUGCAAAGUUUGAAGUGUGUGUUUCUUUCCUAGUAGGUUCACA